UCAUCUGAAAUCUAAAUUAACCAGACAGUUCAGACUGAGUUUCAUAAUAAUGGUUGAAACACCGAAUGAUGUUUUCAAGGCUGGCUUCAAAAUUAAAGGGCAAUGGAGACAAAACCUGUCGUGGAGACUCGAAACGGUUCAAGGCAAUUCUUCAAUUGUCUUUUAAUAAUGUCCAUGGCCUGUUCCUUGGCACAGAAAUCGGAAAGCAAUGAUGAAGGUCCUUCUGCUAGUGGAUGGUUUCUUGGGCUGAACAUUUUUUUUUUUCACUGUCGAGCAGGUUGUAAGACGCGGCUUCUACAUGGUUGAGGAUACAGUGGGAGACAAAGUACAAAAAGUUACUGCAGGUUACGUUGCUUGGAGAUGGGUU